UUAUUCUGAGAAGGGAUCUAGAAGCUUCACCAGGCUAUGCCAUGACCCAAAACAGGUCAAGAACCUCUAUUUUCUGUCCAUAUUGAGUCUCCCCCCCUCCUACUCCAUAAUCUUUAUGGAUGCCCCCCAUUUCCUUCUCCAAGGUCCUUAGUUAAAUGUAUUAUGCAGUUAGAAAUAUUUGUACCAUUUGGGAAUUUUUUCUAAAAUUCAUGUCCUUUAUACCUUCAGUCUCUUAACUGCCAUAUUCCUUUUCUUUCAGAUUUCCUGCUUCCUGUUGUGAACAAAUUACAACAGCAAGCAGUGGCAAGCCUUCAUCCAGUCACUCAUCCAAAUUCCUCAUAUUCUCUUGGCCAGAGUCAUGCAGGGGGACAAAUGAGUUGGACCCUGAACUGAAUCAUAAGAGAUCAGGCCAGAUUCCAUUUUGGAAAUCACACCAAGCUUUCAAUGAUGCCAAACUGCUUUGUGCAAACUACAAAUUUGAUAAGCAUGUUCAUCAGCUCAAACUCAUGAUUAGAAAGAAACAAAACAAUGGCAAGCCAUCUAUCCCUGAACAAAAAAGAAGUCUCCUGAAUCAUCACAAAGAAAGUAUACUCAGUGAGGAUGCAUCGCAGGGAUGUAAACUCCAGAAACUUAUCUGACCACAAGGGCAUAUUGACUUCUAUGGCAGCGGGAUAUCCAUCAAGUCUGAAGAGCACCAACUCCUUACAGAGCUGGCUUUUUUAUGCCCUAGACAACUGGGAAUCCAUGUCAGCAGCUCAAGCUGUUGUCAGACUAAUCAAGUCUUAGGUACAGAUUUCUUGCCUUUGCCAGGAUUGGGGAGAGAUGAAUCUAGCCAUCCUAAUGGCUAUUGCUCCUGCCAUACACGUCAUACCUUUACUCAAGUCAUUGAUAAAAACGUUAGACUGCAAAGAACCAAGUACAGAUCCCUAGAGCAAUUGGAGACCAACAAGCUUGACCCUGAACUCUUAAACACUAGUCUUUGAGUCUCUCCAUUCAAGUGGCCUGAAUCCAUGAAGAUCUGUUAUUGUUUGGUCCACAUCUCUCCAUCUUUUCUAUGAAAAAAAAGAACUUUUAUCAGAACCUUUAUCAAACGUUUUGCUAAAAUCUAGGCAAGCUAUAUUUAUAAGUGUUUACAGAACAAUUCAAUUUGGUAACUCUUUCAAAGAAGAAAAUAAAUUUUGUGUGGAAC
rnacentral:lncRNA from 1 species